GGCGCUGUACGCUUAACGGUAAAGUCGGUGUCAGCCCCACAAGCAUGUAUGCAGGUUCGAUUCCUGUCAGCGCCU
rnacentral:tRNA from 2 species